CUAAAAGAGCCUGGCACAGCCCUCUGCCCCAUCUUUCUCUUGAUUCCUCUCUCUCCAUAUGUUCUCUGCACAUGCCAGCUCUCCUUCAUUUUCCACCAUUAAUGGAAGCAGCCUGAGACCCUCACCAGAUGCCCAAUGUUGCACUUUUCUAGACAACAGAAUUGUUUUCCUACAUGAUGGAUUUGCAAAGACUGGUGAGAACAGUCCUCAUGUCAUCUUACAAAUUUUCCUUUCGUUGCUGACUGAUGAUUCAGAACAAGACGCUGAACCUUCAAGUGAAAGGAUGAGUCUGAAGUUAAAGUCAAGUG
rnacentral:lncRNA from 1 species